AACGCACGAGACCUGCGGACCUGCGGAAGGAUCAUUAGUGAACGCCCUCACGGGCUUAUAACUAUUCCAAACCUCUGUGAACCGUGCCCUUCGGGGCUAUUUUACAAACAUGGUGUAAUGAACGUCGUAUAUCAUAACAAAACAAAACUUUCAACAAUGGAUCUCU
rnacentral:misc_RNA from 1 species